UACGUAGGGGGCCAGCGUUGCUCGGAAUUACUGGGCGUAAAGGGUCCGUAGGCGGUGUAGCAAGUCGAUAGUGAAAUCUCUGGGCUUAACCCAGAGGCUGCUAACGAAACUGCUGUGCUAGAGUGUGAGAGAGGCGAGUGGAAUUACGGGUGUAGCGGUGAAAUGCGUAGAUAUCGGAAGGAACACCUGUGGCGAAAGCGGCUCACUGGACCAUAACUGACGCUGAGGCACGAAAGCUAGGGGAGCAAACAG
rnacentral:rRNA from 1 species